AUGUGGUUUAAUUCGAUGCAACGCGAAGAACCUUACCUGGGCUUGACAUCCCGGGAAUCCCCUGGAAACAGGGGAGUGCCCUUGGGAACCCGGUGACAGGUGCUGCAUGGCUGUCGUCAGCUCGUGUCGUGAGAUGUUGGGUUAAGUCCCGCAACGAGCGCAACCCUCGCCUUUAGUUGCCAGCAUUCAGUUGGGCACUCUAGAGGGACUGCCGGUGUCAAACCGGAGGAAGGUGGGGAUGACGUCAAGUCCUCAUGGCCUUUAUGUCUAGGGCUACACACGUACUACAAUGGCCGGUACAAAGGGCAGCCACUCAGCGAUGAGGCGCUAAUCCCAUAAAGCCGGUCUCAGUCCGGAUCGCAGUCUGCAACUCGACUGCGUGAAGUUGGAAUCGCUAGUAAUCGUGGAUCAGAAUGUCACGGUGAAUACGUUCCCGGGUCUU
rnacentral:rRNA from 1 species